rnacentral:rRNA from 1 species
GACGUAGGAGGCGAGCGUUGUCCGGAUUCAUUGGGCGUAAAGAGCACGCAGGCGGUUUGGCAAGUCGGAUGUGAAAACCCGAAGCUCAACUUCGGGCCUGCACUCCGAAACUGCCCGACUAGAGGUAGGUAGGGGAGAUCGGAAUUCCGUGGUGUAGCGGUGAAAUGCGCAGAAUAUCAGGAGGAACACCGGUGGCGAAGGCGGAUCUCGUGGGC